AACGAACGCUGGCGGCAGGCUUAACACAUGCAAGUCGAGCGCCCCGCAAGGGGAGCGGCAGACGGGUGAGUAACGCGUGGGAAUCUACCCAUCUCUACGGAAUAACGCAUGGAAACGUGUGCUAAUACCGUAUACGUCCUUCGGGAGAAAGAUUUAUCGGAGAUGGAUGAGCCCGCGUUGGAUUAGCUAGUUGGUGGGGUAAAGGCCUACCAAGGCGACGAUCCAUAGCUGGUCUGAGAGGAUGAUCAGCCACACUGGGAGUGAGACACGGCCCAGACUCGUACGGAAGGCAGCAGUGGCGGAUAUUGGACAAUGGGCGCAAGCCUGAUCCAGCCAUGCCGCGUGAGUGAUGAAGGCCCUAGGGUUGUAAAGCUCUUUCACCGGUGAAGAUAAUGACGGUAACCGGAGAAGAAGCCCCGGCUAACUUCGUGCCAGCCGCCGCAGUAAGAC
rnacentral:rRNA from 1 species